rnacentral:lncRNA from 1 species
ACAGGUAAAAAAAAGGCCUUCCCAGAUGUAAACAGCUUCAUAGGCUAUCUCCAACAGAUCUCCUAUUAUAUCCUCUAUCUUAUCACCUAUUUCAAACUUCUCUCCGUAAACAGUAUUAAACAUUGUCAUCUAUAAUACUGUUUCCCCUAAUUUACAAGCUCUACUGGAGACAGUCUAAGAAGCUUUAACUGCUAGAGUAGUUAUGCAGUGAUGCUAAAGGUUAAGAGAAGGGCAUACAAUUGUUAUAUCUUCAUUUCUCGUUGUUCAGUUUCUAUAAUCUUGAGAGCAGAUUGAGGAGUGCUGCACCGGUCGUCCAGUCACAUAUAUGUCAGAACAAAAUAUACAAACAAAUAAUACCAUAUUCUCAGGUUUCUCUUGUAUAACAUAAAACAAGCAUGCCCCAUUUUUACAAAGUUGGAACCAUAUAUGAAUACUCUGCCAACCAGAGUAAAGAGAACUCAGUAAUAGUACAUGCAAUUUGAGUUCAAGAAAACAACCUAUUAUAUAAAUAAACAGCAAAGCACAACUAACUUGGAGCAGCAUUAUUCUUCAACUUCCUUCUUUAUUUCUUCCAUGAGUUCAUCAGCUAUGCUUC